rnacentral:rRNA from 1 species
AGCGAACGCUGGCGGCAGGCCUAACACAUGCAAGUCGAACGAACCUUCCGGGGUCAGUGGCGGACGGGGGAGGAACACGUGGGAACGUGCCUUUAGGUUCGGAAUAACUCAGGGAAACGUGUGCUAAUACCGAAUGUGCCCUUCGGGGGAAAGAUUUAUCGCCUUUAGAGCGGCCCGCGUCUGAUUAGCUAGUUGGUUGAGGUAAUGGCUCACCAAGGCGACGAUCAGUAGCUGGUCUGAGAGGAUGAUCAGCCACAUUGGGACUGAGACACGGCCCAAACUCCUACGGAAGGCAGCAGUGGGGAAUCUUGCGAAAUGGGCGAAAGCCUGACGCAGCCAUGCCGCGUGAAUGAUGAAGGUCUUAGGAUUGUAAAAUUCUUUCACCGGGGACGAUAAUGACGGUACCCGGAGAAGAAGCCCCGGCUAACUUCGUG